rnacentral:rRNA from 1 species
AACGUAGGACGCAAGCGUUAUCCGGAGUUACUGGGCGUAAAGCGCGGGCAGGCGGUUCUGCCAGUCUGAUGUGAAAAUCUCCUCGCUCAACGGGGGAGCAGCCAUUGGAAACUACAGAACUGGAGUCUGACAGAGGUAGGCGGAAUUCCGGGUGGAGUGGUGAAAUGCGUAGAGAUCCGGGAGGAACACCAGAGGCGAAGGCGGCCUGACUGGGUC